AACUUUUAAACCUUUGACGAUUGACUCACGUUGCCUCGGCGGGUUCGCCCGCCAGAGGAUACAUCAAAACUCCUGUUUUAACGGUGUCGUCUGAGCUACAAGCAACGAAUUAAAACUUUCAACAACGGAUCUCUUGGUUCUGGCAUCGAUGAAGAACGCAGCGAAAUGCGAUAAGUAGUGUGAAUUGCAGAAUUCAGUGAAUCAUCGAAUCUUUGAACGCACAUUGCGCCCCUUGGUAUCCCGAGGGGCAUGCCUGUUCGAGCGUCAUUUCACCAUUCAAGCCUGGCUUGGUGUUGGGCGACGUCCCCUUUGGGGACGCGCUUCGAAACGCUCGGCGGCGUGGCACCGGCUUUAAGCGUAGCAGAAUCUUUCGCUUUGAAAGUCGGGGCCCCGUCUGCCGGAAGACCUACUCAAGGUUGACCUCGGAUCAGGUAGGGAUACCCGCUGAACUUAAGCAUAUCAAUAAGCGGAGGAAAAGAAACCAACAGGGAUUGCCUCAGUAACGGCGAGUGAAGCGGCAACAGCUCAAAUUUGAAAUCUGGCUCUUUUAGGGCCCGAGUUGUAAUUUGUAGAGGAUGCUUCGGCGUCGGCUCCGGUCUAAGUUCCUUGGAACAGGACGUCACAGA
rnacentral:rRNA from 1 species